UAAAUUUCAUCCAACACUAGGAAUAACAGACUUCACUCCAACCAAUCUAGAUUUGCAAAAAUUCUGUAAUCAUAGACUUCUUUUGUCCAAAACACACACAACUCUCAAUAAACAACAAUCAUAAUCUUUCAUCCAUAAUCAAUCUUUUAAUAACUUCUCAUAUAAUUUAAUCACAUAAUACUCCAGUUACAUAAUCAAUAACUCAUAAAUCAAUCUCUGAUUUAUUCUACAAACUCACUUAUCAGUAUUCAAAAACUAUCCAU
rnacentral:lncRNA from 1 species